AUGGAUCUGGACGGUUUCCCACUUGACCACGAGUUUUCGGAUGACUACGGUCAAGAGGAAGAGGACGAGUGCAACAUCGAAGUGGAGCCUUUGUUCGAGGACGAGCUCGCCAACCAAGCUGUCGGGCCGAAGCUAAAGCGCAAGAGCAAGCGGACGAAGGCAUACACGGCGGCCGAGAACAAGCUUCUUUGCGAGUGUUCGCGAGACAUUGGACAAGACCCCAAGACGGGCGCCGAACAAAAGCAUUCAACUUUUUAAAUUUCUGUCCACCAGGAGUUUCAUGAAUGCAAGAAGUUUCUGCCUUACCAAAUAGUGAGCACGCGCGGGUGGGUGUCCAUUUCGAAGCGAUGA
rnacentral:rRNA from 1 species